rnacentral:misc_RNA from 1 species
GAAAUCUUCAAAGUCAAACCUUUUGUUAACUCAAUUGGUUCUGCUUUGGUAUUGGAGGUCUAUUGCAGCUUCACACCUGCUCCUCUUUGUGCAUUAGCUGGAUCUCAGUGUUAUGCUUGGUUCCACUCAGCGUGAUAAGUUAUCUAUCGCUGAGGACACCCUGUUAAAAAGGGGUGGCCAAGGUAAAUGCAGAUGAACUGCUUCUAACAGUCCAUUGACUUGGACAAAUAUUAAUUUUAUGAUCUGAUCUCAAAUCAGGUAGGACUACCCGCUGAACUUAA